rnacentral:rRNA from 1 species
GGGUUGUGAGGUUAAGCGACUAAGCGUACACGGUGGAUGCCCUGGCAGUCAGAGGCGAUGAAGGGCGUGCUAAUCUGCGAUAAGCGCCGGUAAGGUGAUAUGAACCGUUAUAACCGGCGAUACCCGAAUGGGGAAACCCAGUGUGAUUCGUCACACUAUCAUUAACUGAAUCCAUAGGUUAAUGAGGCGAACCGGGGGAACUGAAACAUCUAAGUACCCCGAGGAAAAGAAAUCAACCGAGAUUCCCCCAGUAGCGGCGAGCGAACGGGGAGGAGCCCAGAGCCUGAAUCAGCAUGUGUGUUAGUGGAAGCGUCUGGAAAGGCGCGCGAUACAGGGUGACAGCCCCGUACACAAAAGCGCAUAUGCUGUGAGCUCGAUGAGUAGGGCGGGACACGUGGUAUCCUGUCUGAAUAUGGGGGGACCAUCCUCCAAGGCUAAAUACUCCUGACUGACCGAUAGUGAACCAGUACCGUGAGGGAAAGGCGAAAAGAACCCCGGCGAGGGGAGUGAAAAAGAACCUGAAACCGUGUACGUACAAGCAGUGGGAGCCCCACCACUAAGCCAGUGGUGAACUCCACAUACGCAUCCUUUGCUGAGGAGACGGUUAACGGAGCGAAAGCGACGUUCAACCUCAAAAGAAGCAGAGGGGGCUUAGUGGUGGGGUGACUGCGUACCUUUUGUAUAAUGGGUCAGCGACUUAUAUUCUGUAGCAAGGUUAACUGUAUAGGGGAGCCGGAGGGAAACCGAGUCUUAACCGGGCGUUAAGUUGCAGGGUAUAGACCCGAAACCCGGUGAUCUAGCCAUGGGCAGGUUGAAGGUUGGGUAACACUAACUGGAGGACCGAACCGACUAAUGUUGAAAAAUUAGCGGAUGACCUGUGGCUGGGGGUGAAAGGCCAAUCAAACCGGGAGAUAGCUGGUUCUCCCCGAAAGCUAUUUAGGUAGCGCCUCGUGAAUUCAUCUCCGGGGGUAGAGCACUGUUUCGGCUAGGGGGCCAUCCCGGCUUACCAACCCGAUGCAAACUGCGAAUACCGGAGAAUGUUAUCACGGGAGACACACGGCGGGUGCUAAUGUCCGUCGUGAAGAGGGAAACAACCCAGACCGCCAGCUAAGGUCCCAAAGUCAUGGUUAAGUGGGAAACGAUGUGGGAAGGCCCAGACAGCCAGGAUGUUGGCUUAGAAGCAGCCAUCAUUUAAAGAAAGCGUAAUAGCUCACUGGUCGAGUCGGCCUGCGCGGAAGAUGUAACGGGGCUAAACCAUGCACCGAAGCUGCGGCAGCGACACCGUGUGUUGUUGGGUAGGGGAGCGUUCUGUAAGCCUGUGAAGGUGUGCUGUGAGGCAUGCUGGAGGUAUCAGAAGUGCGAAUGCUGACAUAAGUAACGAUAAAGCGGGUGAAAAGCCCGCUCGCCGGAAGACCAAGGGUUCCUGUCCAACGUUAAUCGGGGCAGGGUGAGUCGACCCCUAAGGCGAGGCCGAAAGGCGUAGUCGAUGGGAAACGGGUUAAUAUUCCCGUACUUGGUGUUACUGCGAAGGGGGGACGGAGAAGGCUAUGUUGGCCGGGCGACGGUUGUCCCGGUUUAAGCGUGUAGGUAUGUGUUCCAGGUAAAUCCGGUUCACUUUAACACUGAGGCGUGACGACGAGGCACUACGGUGCUGAAGCAACAAAUGCCCUGCUUCCAGGAAAAGCCUCUAAGCAUCAGGUAACAUCAAAUCGUACCCCAAACCGACACAGGUGGUCAGGUAGAGAAUACCAAGGCGCUUGAGAGAACUCGGGUGAAGGAACUAGGCAAAAUGGUGCCGUAACUUCGGGAGAAGGCACGCUGACACGUAGGUGAAGUGAUUUACUCACGGAGCUGAAGUCAGCCGAAGAUACCAGCUGGCUGCAACUGUUUAUUAAAAACACAGCACUGUGCAAACACGAAAGUGGACGUAUACGGUGUGACGCCUGCCCGGUGCCGGAAGGUUAAUUGAUGGGGUCAGCGCAAGCGAAGCUCCUGAUCGAAGCCCCGGUAAACGGCGGCCGUAACUAUAACGGUCCUAAGGUAGCGAAAUUCCUUGUCGGGUAAGUUCCGACCUGCACGAAUGGCGUAAUGAUGGCCAGGCUGUCUCCACCCGAGACUCAGUGAAAUUGAACUCGCUGUGAAGAUGCAGUGUACCCGCGGCAAGACGGAAAGACCCCGUGAACCUUUACUAU